CAGGAUUUCCUUUCCGGGUUGGACGGGGGCUUCUUUGUUUGUGUGUGUGUGCAUGUGUGAGUUCACACCGAUACUCGACCAAAUACUGUGCAUGGUUAUCUAAAAUUCUAGAAAAUAGUUCACAUCCCAGUGGCAGGUAAGAACCUUCUUUUUAAUUUAUCAAAUGGCGUCAAUACGCCAUAAAAUUAUCUUCAUUUAUAAUACUAAAAAUAUGUCAAUACAUGUUCUUACAUUUAGGCUACUUAACCUAUUGAAUGAGUUAUAUAUAGAAGAUUUAUAUUGUCCUUCUAUAAAUUAAGACUACACUUGCUAUUGAUGAGUCUAUAAUUGUCAGCCUGGACAGUAGCAGCACACUAUCGUUUUAUCUCUCGAUGUGAGCAAGUAAGAUUUUUUUCAGAGCUUUAUUCUUUUGUAUUAUUUUUCUAUUAUAGAAGUUGAUGCUCCAUCUUGUUAUUCAUUUCCUGGGAUCAUUUCUCGAGGAAUGUACGGAUUUCUCAAAGUGACGCAAUGCUAUGAUCUUCAACCAUGAAAACGAAACUGUCAGCGCUGAUGGCCUGCUCCUGUGAUCUCAUAGGUACCAAAAUGCAGCUUAAAUCUCUUUUUGAGAAUUGGUUCCUGAUGUUACAUUUAGCUACUCCUGUAUAUCUUUUAGAUUUUUUCUCUUUGUAAUUGUUUUUUGUUUGCUCACCUUGUAAUCAACUCUGUAUUUGAUGAUUUAGAAAUCAGAAUUCAGUUUAACUCUGCAAUUAACCCUUAAUUAUAAUAUAAUUUUUCUGGUUGCACUCAUCCCUAAUUCAUAGCUUCACCAAUGGUGAUAGCAUUGUGUCAAGGAGCAGGUGGAGAGGGAGAAAGAGAAAGGGAGAAUGGAAGCCAAGUGAUAGACAAAGAGAGUGAAAGGUAGAAGACAUGCAAUAACUUGUGUUAUCUUACUAAUGCUUUAUUUAUUGAAGACCUAUACCAAUGCACACGUAUUUGUCGUUGUAUGAUGGAAACCAGAUGCCAUCAUGCUUACGGCAUAUUUUUGAAUUAAAAGAAUAAUUUGAUCAUUGUGUCUAUAUUUUAUGAUUUUGUGUCAACGCACUGGCAUUUGGCUUCAGCCCAUCAAUUAGACCAGCUAGGUCUACGCACACUCCAUGAUUAGCUAACAAACUAGAGCAAACUAGCUAGCUUGAGUAGUCCCAUUUUUGUAUUUAAGCUAUUAAUUCUUGGAUGAGUGUGUUUGGAGGCGAGAAGGGAAAUAUGUUACUCUGCAAAUUCCAAGUCUUUUAUCAUGACUAUUAUUACACGUCAAACAUGGAGUAAUGAGAGCGUGAGUGUGUUUGGAAUUCUUAAUUGGUAAAUUCUGGUGAUUAACUGACCGGGGAUUCAAUUUGGAUAGCUACCUAGGGGUAUGAGUGAGAUCAGUGUGACUAAUUGUGAUUUAUUUAGUGGUGAAAAUGUAGGAAUUAAUUUGUUUCAUCAAUUCUGCACUUGCAUUUGGGCAUAGAAUUUAGUUGGGGUAGCAUAUGCCCAGAAUUUAAUUGACCACAAUUUUGAGAAAUUUUUGGAAGUUGUUUAUUUGUUCUAUUAAACAUGGUCAAAUUUUCUUAUAAUUGCAGGUAUUUGGUUCAAAAUAUAUUUUUCUACUGUUAACCGAUAGCAUGGAUAUCACUAUUUAUCAUCAUGAUGUCCAUAAGAAAUCAUCAUGACAUGUCGAAUCCUCAACCACUCAGUUAGAUGUUGAUGGAUCUGCAUCACAGCUUCUGUUGAAUUCUCAUGGUUGGAGAUACUGCAAGAAUUCUGAUUCGGCACGGCCCUCAUGGAGACAAUGGAGAUGGUGUUCAACGGUGCGCUCAGCCAGAGUUCGCUUCUCCUGCAAUACGUCCGACAUUUGCUGAUUCGGUAGGGCCCUCAUGGAAACAAAGUACGUCCAACAUUUGCUCUUCUAUGAAUCAGUCCAUAGGCCCUUUAAUAGUUGUGUGUUGAUGGGUGUUUCCAUCAUGGGCUUCUUGUUUCUUUUAGUCCAUGAAAGACGCAUUGGAGCACCAGGUCAAGAGCAAGGCCUUUUUCAAGAUACUAACCUAAAUGCUGAAAUACUUCGUUGUUGCCACUUUUAGUGUAGCUGUACUGAUGCAGAUAAGCUAAAAAUCUCUCUUGCCUUCUCUUUGAUGCCCUGAUGACUUGUGUGCUUAAUUAUUAAGUAAA
rnacentral:lncRNA from 1 species